rnacentral:lncRNA from 1 species
GCAGUAGCACUUCGUGUACAAGGUGACCGAUCAGCUUUCUUUGACUGCGCCAUACGAGGUUACCAAGACACAUUAUAUGCACACGCCCACCGUCAAUUCUACAGAAACUGCGAAAUUUCAGGCACAGUUGAUUUCAUUUUCGGCUACUCAGCAACAGUAAUACAAAACUCCAAAAUAAUAAUUCGAAAACCUGAAGCAAAUCAACAAAACAUAGUAGUAGCAGAUGGAACAGAUCAAAAGAACAUGCCAACAGGAGUAGUACUUCAGAAUUGUGAGAUCAUGCCAGAAGCAGAAUUACAAGCUGAUAGAUUAACAGUUAGAUCAUAUUUAGCGAGACCAUGGAAAGCGUAUUCGAGAGCAAUAUUUAUGGAAAAUACUAUAGGUGAUUUAAUUCAACCAGAUGGAUAUCUUCCUUGGUCAGGGACUCAAUUUCUUGAUACAUGUUAUUUUGCUGAGUAUGCUAAUACUGGACCUGGUUCAGAUGUUAAAGCAAGAGUUAAAUGGGGAAAAGGUGUUCUUACAAAAGCUGAUGCAAUGAAAUAUACUGCUAAUGAAUGGAUUCAAGCUGGUAUGUGGUUACCUGCUACUGGUAUACCCUUUGAACUUGGAUUCACUAAAGCUUGAAAUUGAGUUACAUGACUAAUUAUACCACAAAAGGGUAUAUUAACAAACAAUUUUAGGAACUUUUAUAGGAUUAUAAUAUAGAGGUUAAGUAAAAUAUGUAUAGUAGAGAACCAAGAAAGAAAGAAAGAAAAAUAUGUAAAGUGGAAAUUAAUUGUGAUGACACAAAAUGUGGAGUAUAUAUGUAUGUACACUUAAAUAUGAGUUUUCUUUUGUAUAGAGUAUUGAAUAUUGAUUGUAGAAAAAUAAAAUUUUAUUGCAAGAAUGAAAUACUUCAACACUUGUGCCAAUGUCAUCAUGUUUACUUCGUUAGGAUAGUGAGCGAUGUCUUUGACAAGUGGUUAGACUAACACUCUAUAAGUGUGGAAAAGUGGGAAAUUUGGGGUUCACAUCCCCACCCUUCCAAUAAUAUUAACAACUGAGCUACACUUGCGAAAUAAAGUUUAUUCACUCUUUAUCUCUUAUAUAGUUUUAUAUGGUCAAAUCUAUGGUGCACAAAUGAGACAAGUCUUUCAUCAUGCACAAACUUGUUUUCACCAUUGGAUCACCCAUUGAAUCAAAUGGAUAUGAUGUGACAUUUUUAUCCAAAAAUGGUAAAAUUUAUUGAUCAAACAACAAAAAUAUACCUAUGCAUCGUGAAAAACUCGUCACAUUUACAUGUUAGACAAAACCACUUUAUGAACAUCAAAUAUGUAUUAUGGCGGUAACGUUAUGGCGAAACUAUCACCGCACCAAAACAAGUGGAUUCACACUAGUUACUCUUAGAAUUGAGUAUUGGGUCUAACUCAUCCUUACAAAACUGGCUUGUAAAGUGAAGAUUGCCUCUAGUUUAUAAACACUUAGUCAGACCAUAUCGCAACUGAUGUAGGACUUCUUAACAAUUACAAUUACCUCAAAAGAAUACUACAAACAAAUUUUUUAGUUACCACGUUAUAAGACGACAGAGUUUUUACUGCCAUUUAGANNNNNNNNNNUUAGAAGUAAUUAAUCUCUACCGAAGAAUUUGAUCGACGUGUAAGGUUAGUUCUUCCCUCUCAGUAGUGGUGUGACUAAUCUUUGUCAGAGAAGGUGCACGAGAUGAAUUCUCUCCUCUCAAUCGAAUUUUAUCCAUACACAAGAAUCAUUUAUCGAACAUAACCGCUCAAUUAUUGAUCAUAUUAUGCUAAUGUGUAGUUUUUGCAUGCUAAUUCUCCUUUAGUUUUUGCUUACUCCCCUCUAAUUUCCGCAUCUUAGCAUUUAGUCAGACCCUACACCUUUGAAAGUGACCUAAUUCCGGUUGGUGAAGCAUCGAAUCCUUUCAAAUCUUUCAGAAAGAUCAAACACAUUGUUCAAUCUUAAUUCUUAACCACCAAAUUCACCCACUAUCCGUACGUGUGUGCAAGCUAUAAAAUUGAAAUCUUAGAAAGAAAAAAAAAUCAUUAAUAGAUAAUUUGCAAAAAAUUUCUGACCUUACUUAUUUCAUGUACAUAAAUUUUUCUACAUGAAACCGGCUAAAAAAUUAAAGGACCACAUGACAUCAAUCAAUAGCUUAAAUUUGAAAAAAUAAAAUAAAAUAGUUACUAAUUCUAACAAGAAAAUAGAUAGUGAGGUACUUCAUUUUAGAUAUUGUCCCAUUUUAUUAUAUUAUCAUUAUACUGUUUUGGCCCAAAAUAAUCAAUCAAUCAUUAUCAUAAGUUGAGUUUUAUUUUAAUCUCAAUAUAUUGUGGCCCUUCUAGUGACGCCAAAGAUAAGAUGAUAUCAAUGAGAUAUUAAGGUACAUGACAACCCAACUAGACUCAACAAAAUAUUAAGGUAUCAAUGAGAUUCUCCAAUAAUGUAAUGUAACUGAAUUUUUUCAGGUACAUGGAUGAUGAUAUUCCAAAGGGGUUAUGUGGAUGGAGUUGGAAGGAGAAUAAAUUGUUUGAGUUGGCUUUAGCUUUGGUAGAUGAGAGGCAUCCGGAACGGUGGGAGAUGGUUGCGGCAAUUGUUGGAGGAAAAAAGAGUGCAGACGAAGUUCGGGAACAUUAUGUGAUACUUUUGGAGGAUUUGGAGCUUAUAGAAUCUGGAAAAUUUGAUCAUAAAUUUGGAGAAGAUCAUACUUGUGUUAUUGUUGACCUUACUAAGUCCUUGUGCUUGUCUGAUAAUAAUAUUGAUUGAUAUAGCUUCAUGUAAGUUCUUACUUUUUAUGUAACAAAACUAAAAUAAUUUUAUCUUUAUUCUCUCAUAUAACUUGAUGAUGUUCUGUUUUGUAUUCUUUUAUGCUCCUACUUUAGUAUUUUUAUCAUAUAAACUAUCAUGCUAUACUAAUUCCUAUGGUAAGUAGUAACAUCAUAAGCUUAGAAAUUUCAUUAAUCUUGUUUAUAUCAUAGUCUUAGAGAAUAAAACUUUCAUGCUUCAUGCAUAAUCACUUGAACUGUGUCAGAUGACUCAAUACGUGCAGGAAAAGGUAUACAUCAACUAAUGUAAUGUCUGUUCGAGGAUUGGUUUUGCCAUCAAAAAACGUUAGCGGCGCAGCUUGUUGUCUGUGUUUGUCUUUCAUUCAUAUAUAAUUAUAUUGAAUAUAUAUAAUCCAAAACAGGAUAAUAAGUUGGCUUAAUCAUGCAAACAGCAGUACAAGAAGUUACAGAAUAAGUCUUGACUCAAUGUCCAUCCUAGUAAUAUAACAGUAGUUUAUCUGUAUUUAAUUACAAUAUAAAGAAUAACAGCUUAAUUGCAGCCACAAUUUAGAACAAUUUGUCCCAUGACAUAUAUCAGUAGUUUCUGGUAAAAUUUCAAGAGAUGAUUUUAUCUACCAUCUCUUAUCUCACCAUAUAUUUGUCUGAAAUUGAAUGAAUGGUGACAAGAUAUGAAGACAUGAAUCAAGUAGCAUAUUCCAAUGAUAAGGUAUUUAAGAACAUGGAAACAUAAAGACAAGAGAGAUCAUUAGUGACAAAAUGUGUUUGUUUAGCCAAAGCUCAUCAACAUCACUGCCUUUUAAAGUUGAAUCCACAAAUUGAACUCAUUUAAAUAUACAAAUCAUACAAGAUAAUAAAUAAAUCAAAAAAUUUAAAAAAAAUAAAGGAAAGGGACUAAGUAUUAAAUAUUAAUGGAAACAAAGCCAGGGAAGAGGCAGUGCAUGAGCGGAGUCACAACAGCUAUCUCAUCUGUUGAUGGUUCCAUCCAUGCUCUGUCUGUUCCCUGCCUUCGUCUUGUCGCUAACUAUUAAUCUCAGCCCCCAACCUUUUUUACAUCUAAAUUAAAUUAUCUUACCUCCUCCAUGUUAGACAUCCUUAGUGUUAAGCAGCUUCUCAUAGUCUUAUAAAACUCUCAUAUUCAAUAAGAUUCCCUUCUCAUUGAAAAUUUGGUUUGUUAAAUUAUUCAUAAAAUGCAAUGUUGAAUGAAGGUAUUGAUUGAUUCUGAUUCUAUAUGUAAUAAUCACAUAAAGGAGGGGAUGUUUGUACUUUGCAAUUUUGCAGUACAUAUACAUGUACUAGGAAAUUUUAGGUGUACUACUUAAUGUACUACUAUUAGUAGCCAACUCAGCUUAGCUAAAUCAAAUUUU